CAGAGAGAGAGAGAGAGAGAGAGCCACGUCCAAGACAUUUCUCAGGAAUGGCGUCAUCUUACGUCACCUUCUCAACGGUCACUCCCGUGACGAUCACCGGCAACAACAGUGGGGGAUACGCUCUCUCAACCUUCACGCGCCGCUGUGUAACUGCAUCUCCGAAUGCUGGGAGGAGGAUGUUCAGAGCUUCGGGAAUGGCGAAGGCGACGAAGAAAGCUAUGGAGUACAGGAAGCUAGGGGAUUCGGAGCUCAUUAUCAGCGAGAUUACUAUGGGCACCAUGACAUUUGGGGAGCAGAAUACUGAGAAAGAAUCUCAUGAGAUGCUGAGUUAUGCAGUUGAGCAUGGCAUCAACUGCAUUGACACUGCUGAAGCCUAUCCUGUCCCGAUGAAGAAGGAGACCCAAGGAAAAACUGAUCUUUAUAUCAGUAGCUGGUUGAAGUCUCAGAGCCGUGACAAGUUUGUUUUGGCAACUAAACUAUGUGGGUACUCAGAAAGAUCAGCAUACCUGCGGGAGAAUGCAGAGGUUACGCGUGUGGAUGCAGCUAAUAUCAAAGAAAGCGUCGAGAAAAGUCUCAAACGCCUUGGCACUGACUACAUUGAUUUGCUUCAAAUACACUGGCCAGAUCGGUAUGUACCACUCUUUGGUGAUAACUACUAUGAUACAUCGAAAUGGAGAGCUAGUGUGCCAUUUGUCGAGCAGCUAAGAGCCUUCCAGGAUCUCAUAAACGAAGGAAAGCUUCGCUACAUUGGUGUCUCAAAUGAAACUUCAUAUGGGGUGAUGGAGUUUGUUCACACAGCAAAACUCGAAGGAUUACCGAAGAUUGUGAGCAUCCAGAAUGGUUACAGCUUGCUAGCUCGGACCCGUUUUGAAGUUGAUCUAGUAGAAGUAUGCCACCCAAAAAAUUGCAAUGUCGGCUUGCUUGCAUAUUCCCCUCUGGGCGGCGGCUCCUUGUCUGGGAAAUACUUGGUUACAGACCUAGAAGCUACAAAGAAUGCAAGGCUGAACCUUUUCCCUGGAUUCAUGGAGCGUUACAAGGGAUCACUAGCCAAGGAAGCAACGAUCCAAUACAUAGAGGUGGCGAAGAAGCACGGUUUAACUCCGGUGGAGCUAGCUCUCGGGUUUGUACGUGACAGGCCUUUUGUGACGAGCACGAUCAUCGGAGCUACAUCACUGGAGCAGCUCAAAGAAGACAUUGAUGCUUAUCUGAUGACGGAAGGGCCGUUGUCGCCAGAAGUAAUGGCUGAUAUUGAAGCCGUGUUCAGAAGGUACAAAGACCCUUCUUUCUUUUGAGAACAAAAAGGGUUUCUUCUCUUUAUGAGUUUCUGACCUCACAUGAACGCUCUUUUUUCCUCUCCAUGCUUUAAUAUUUGUUUGUAUGAUAAUUAAGAAUCAUCAGGAAAAAAAACUGUGAAAAUGUUAAAAAAAAAAGGUAAGUUCUCAAGUUUGUUGUCCGUGGUUUGAUUAUUAUCCUACAGAGUUUUACGUGAUUGAUAAUGUCAUGUGGAAUUGUGAGAUCA